rnacentral:lncRNA from 1 species
UCCAGCUUGGGAAAUAGCAGGACCCUGUCUCUAAAAACAAAGAAAAAAGACAAGGAGAUGGAAUCAAAGCCCAGAGGUCCUCCCCUUCUCAGAGCCACCACUAGUUCUCUGUGACCAUGGAAAACUACCCCCAGCCCCACUGCCUUUUGCCUCCGGUCAGUGGGUUUUGCGGGGCUCUGAGGUGUCUCCCCACUCACCCAGCUCUGGGCAGAGCAGCUGGGCUGGGCUGGGGCUGAGCUAACCAGAACCUGGAAGUAGGGCUCGGGGUUCUGGCUGUGGCCCCAUCCCUGGCUUGGCCCAGCCUCGUCAGCUUUGGUCCAGGUUCCUGAAUGGUGCCUCCCUGCCCACCUUGUGUUGGGAGCGUGAGCAUUAGAGGGGAAGAGGGCGGACAGGAAGGGAGGGUCAGUUAUUUUACAAGUUUUUAAAAAGUUACAGGUAGGUUAACUUUGAGUAAAAAAAAAAAAAAAAAAAAUGUCACAAAACAAGGAUCAAACAGAGGGCACGUUUCCCUCUCCCCUUCCCUUCUAGGGGCAUAAGUGGUGGUGAGAACACUCAUAUGAUGGUGCAGGACUGCAAGGCGCCCCCCUUCCGGCUACCUUGCGUGGGCACAGGUUUGCCUUUCCCGUAGUACCCCGUGAAGAUGGCCCUGACCUCCAUGUUCUUGGCCAGGGUCAGCAUCCAGCGCCCAUUGCCCAAGGAAUAGAGCUUGCCCCGGCUUAGCUCGCCCACCUCCUCGCCUCGGCUGCCCCCCUUCUCCUGCCGCAGAAUCUCUAAGAGGUCAAGGCCCGUCUGCACGGCCUCUACGUCAGCUGCACAGCCGAGGGUGAUGUGGGUGCCUUCCCAAGCGGGGCAGUGCUGGACCUUCUUUCCCUUUCGGUCCGGGAGCACCUUUCCGCUUCUGGUCGUGGAGGAGGAAGAGGGAAGCUUGUCUGAAGCUCUCCUAAGCGUGCGCUUUCCCCAUUCCUGCCACUUCGGAAAGGUAAACGUGCUGGAGGCAUGCGGGGCGCGCCAGGAGCCUGCGGUUCUGGGACUGGCCUCACUCUUAUAU